rnacentral:rRNA from 1 species
CGGGGUGAGUAACGCGUGGAUAACCUGCCUCACACUGGGGGAUAACAGUUAGAAAUGACUGCUAAUACCGCAUAAGCGCACAGUACCGCAUGGUACAGUGUGAAAAACUCCGGUGGUGUGAGAUGGAUCCGCGUCUGGAUUAGCCAGUUGGCGGGGUAACGGCCCACCAAAGCGACGAUCAGUAGCCGACCUGAGAGGGUGACCGGCCACAUUGGGACUGAGACACGGCCCAA